UUAAUGAGAGUUUGAUCCUGGCUCAGGACGAACGCUGGCGGCGUGCCUAAUACAUGCAAGUAGAACGCUGAAGGAGAAGCUUGCUUCUCUGGAUGAGUUGCGAACGGGUGAGUAACGCGUAGGUAACCUGCCUGGUAGCGGGGGAUAACUAUUGGAAACGAUAGCUAAUACCGCAUAAGAGUGGAUGUUGCAUGACAUUUGCUUAAAAGGUGCACUUGCAUCACUACCAGAUGGACCUGCGUUGUAUUAGCUAGUUGGUGGGGUAACGGCUCACCAAGGCGACGAUACAUAGCCGACCUGAGAGGGUGAUCGGCCACACUGGGACUGAGACACGGCCCAGACUCCUACGGGAGGCAGCAGUAGGGAAUCUUCGGCAAUGGACGGAAGUCUGACCGAGCAACGCCGCGUGAGUGAAGAAGGUUUUCGGAUCGUAAAGCUCUGUUGUAAGAGAAGAACGAGUGUGAGAGUGGAAAGUUCACACUGUGACGGUAUCUUACCAGAAAGGGACGGCUAACUACGUGCCAGCAGCCGCGGUAAUACGUAGGUCCCGAGCGUUGUCCGGAUUUAUUGGGCGUAAAGCGAGCGCAGGCGGUUAGAUAAGUCUGAAGUUAAAGGCUGUGGCUUAACCAUAGUAGGCUUUGGAAACUGUUUAACUUGAGUGCAAGAGGGGAGAGUGGAAUUCCAUGUGUAGCGGUGAAAUGCGUAGAUAUAUGGAGGAACACCGGUGGCGAAAGCGGCUCUCUGGCUUGUAACUGACGCUGAGGCUCGAAAGCGUGGGGAGCAAACAGGAUUAGAUACCCUGGUAGUCCACGCUGUAAACGAUGAGUGCUAGGUGUUAGACCCUUUCCGGGGUUUAGUGCCGUAGCUAACGCAUUAAGCACUCGCCUGGGGAGUACGACCGCAAGGUUGAAACUCAAAGGAAUUGACGGGGGCCCGCCACCAAAGCGGUGGAGCCAUGUGGUUUUAAUUCGAAAGACACGCGAAGACCUUACCAGGUCUUGACAUCCUCUGACCGCUCUUCUAGAGAUAGAGUUUUCCUUCGGGACAGAGGUGUGACGGGUGGUGCAUGGGUUGUCGUCAGCUCGUGUCGUGAGAUGUUUGGGGUUUAAGUCCCGCAACGAGCCGCAACCCCUAUUGUUAGUUGCCAUCAUUUUAGUUGGGCACUCUAGCGAGACUGCCGGUAAUAAACCGGAGGAAGGUGGGGAUGAGACGUCAAAUCAUCAUGCCCCUUAUGACCUGGGCUACACACGUGCUACAAUGGCUGGUACAACGAGUCGCAAGCCGGUGACGGCAAGCUAAUCUCUUAAAGCCAGUCUCAGUUCGGAUUGUAGGCUGCAACUCGCCUACAUGAAGUCGGAAUCGCUAGUAAUCGCGGAUCAGCACGCCGCGGUGGAAUACGUUCCCGGGCCUUGUACACACCCGCCCGUCACACCACGAGAGUUUGUAACACCCGAAGUCGGUGAGGUAACCGUAAGGAGCCAGCCGCCUAAGGUGGGAUAGAUGAUUGGGGUGAAGUCGUAAGCAAGGUAGCCGUAUCGGAAAGGGUGCGGCUGGAUCACCUCCUUUCUAAGGA
rnacentral:rRNA from 1 species